UUUUUUUUUUCCUCUCUUUUUCUUCAAACAAGUAAUAAUCUUACAAUAAAUUUCAGUAUACAUUAUACAAGUUACAAAAUUUUUGGGAUGGAUAGAAAACCAAGUACCAUCCACUUUCUUGAUGAUUGGUUAUUACAUCCAAUGAAUUCUGAAAAAAGUCUAGGUCCACUAAGAUAACCGGUAAAGAAUACAAGGUCAAAGCCCUGAUUUACAAUAAUUGCAAUAACUACCUGGAUGGAAACAAAACAAUGUAAAAGCAUGCACAUGAAAUUGUAAUUUUUAUUGACAUUAUCAAACUCAAAUGAAUUUCAAUCCCAGCCUUGGUGGAAUCAGAGCCACCAGUCCUCUCCCCUUCAUCCUUUUAGUCUCAAGCUGCAUUUUUUCCAUUUCUUCACAGUAAUGCUCUAGCAGUUGCCAAAGUUCAUUUAUAGCCAUUUUCAGCUUCUGUGUCAUUUUCUAUCAAAACCUGAGAUCUAAUAAAGACUUAAAAAGGUCCCAAGUCAACCUACAUUUCCAUGGAGCAUGAUUUUAGCAAAAGUUGAAUACUUUAGCAGCUUACUCUUUCUCGUGCCUAUGAUGUACUGUAUCACUAUGUAGAAGGAAUUUCGUAGUUGGGCGGAGGUGAGCAUCCAAAUUAUAUCCCAGUGACUCCAUCCUGCUCAAAAGAUCAAAUGCAUGAUCCCUUUUAUCCUCAGAACGAAGCAGCAACUUAAGUAGUAGGUUACAAAUUCGGGGCAUCAAAAUGUAACCUUUCUCAAUUGUGUAAAGAAACAUUUCCACUGCAAGGUCAAGAUUUCCUUCUCUGCAUAAUCCACGUAUUAACUUCACACAACUUGGAGGGGUGACAACAACUUUGCACUCCUGAAGAAUGAAAAAUAUAUUUAAAGCCUCUUCCACUCUUCCUGCCUGGCACAGUCCAAUUAGCCAGAUGCUAUACGGUGCCAACUCAAAAUCAUUUAACUUAAAGUCCAUCUCAAGUAACUUUCGAACUGCCUUCUCCACCUCUCCCUUCUCAAAAUAUUCCUCUAUUAUUUUAACUACUUCAUUGUCUCGGCCAGAAACAUUCUGCAGAUAUUGCAACCAAAUAUUAAAAGCUAAAGAUACCUUCUUUCUCCUGCAUGACCAAGUCAUAAGUGAUUUAUAAACUGCCGUAGUUGGUGUACACCCACUCUUAAACAUCUGAUCGAGUACCCUAAAGGCAUCCUCUUCUCUUUUAAUGCUUAGAAGCCCAUUUAUAAGAGUUCCAUAUGUUACAGAAUCUGGCGACAGCCCCUUGAGUUGAAGCUCCUUUACAAGCUUAAAAGCACCAUUAAUGUUGCCUGCCUUGCAAAAACCAUUGAUCAGAAUGUUAUAAGUAUUGAUGUUAGGUGCAAACCCACUAUCAGCAAGUUGCAUGAGAAUUUUGUAUGCCUUGAGAAUCAAUCCUGAGACACACAAUUGCUCCACCAUGGUUUGUAGACCUCCAGUGUCAAGAACCCGAUCUGCUCCCUGAGAAAGACGAAGAAACAAUGAAGGAUUUCUCCCUAUCUCCAUCUUGUAAAAUAAAAGUUGAGCUUCCUCAAGCUUUCCCGCCUUACAAAGUCCAUCAAUAAGAGCAUUGAAUGUAAUCACAGAAGGAUAACAUCCAAGCUUCUCCAUCUCAUUGAACAUUUGUUGUGCAUCCCCAACCAGCCCUUUCCUGCACAUACCACAAAUGAGAAUGGUAUAAGUGCAGGUAUUAGGAAAGGAAUCAUGGUUCGAAAUCUCAAGACGAAGUGAUUUUGCCUCAUCCAGAAGACCCAUGUCACAAAAACCUUUGAUCAAAGCAUUAUAACAAUGACUAUCAGGAACCACACCUCUUUCAGUCAUCUCACUCAGCAACUUCAGUGCAUCCUUAACUUUGCCCGCUUUCAGUAACCCCUUCAUCAUUAUAGUGUACAAGAUAACAUCGACCUUGAUAUUAUCCUCAAUCAUUUGCCUGUACCACAAUUGCGCAUCUUCAAAUUUCCUUGCUCUAAACAACCCAUCAAUCAAACAACUAUAUCCCUCUUUGUUAAGCACAUAACCGUCCUUUUUAAAAAACUUUAAAAGAGCCAUUGCCUCAUCAACUCUACCUAACUUACAGAACCCAUCAAGCAAAGCAUUAUAAGUAACAAAAUCAGGUCUGCAUCCACUAUCUUUCAUCGUAUUAAACAACCUAUAAGCAUCAUCAGUCCUCUGAGCUUGACACAACCCUGAAAUGAUUAUUGUAUAUGUAACCUUAUUUGGCGAAAUUCCUCUUUGUGUCAUUUCAUCGAGCAUUUGAAGUGCAUUAUGGGUUUUCCCACUCUUACACAGCACAUCUAUUAACAUGCUAUAUGUAUAACUAUUUGGUAAGCAAUUGAUCUUCAACAUUCUAUUAUAAAUCCCUAAAGCUAACAAAAAAACCUCUUUACGCACUAUGACACUCAAAAUCGUAUUACAAGUAAAAAUAUCAGGCUCACAGUCAACAUCUUUCAUCCUUUCAAAAGCUUCCACGGCCUUCUCAACCAUACCCAUCUUCGCAUAUGCUUGAAUCAACACUGUAAAUGCAGCAGCGGAUAUCGAAAGAUCACAUUUUUUUAUAUCAUUGAGAACUUGCCAAUACAAUUCAAGCCCAUUAUCUUUAAUGAGCAUGUCAAGGAUUACAGUGUGAAAUAGCCACGAGCGAAAACGCUUGUACUUGGAUGCCCAGAUAAAGAAACGAAACCCCAAUUGAGGACUUGGCGGAUUUUUUAUUAUAGAGGUGACAAGGCCAGGGGAUAGGAAUGGAACCAUAGGUUCUAGAGCUGGUUCCAUGGGGUCGACAGUGGCAACGAUGGGGAGAACGUCACUCGAAGUAGCUAUUUUUUCUGUACACGAGGUGCGAAUAUGCUGAAUCCAUGGUGGCUUGGGAUGAGAGAUUUGGCGCAGCACGGAGUGAAGUUUCAUGAUCGUGACAUUGAUUUGGAUUUCAAACUUAUGGGAUCUUCGGUCGAUUGACGGUUAGGGUUUUAGAUGGGUUUUUGCAAGCAGCGGAUGAGGUGGCGUUUAUGUUUGGUUGGCGAGAAAAGGAACGAAAGUGAAAAUUGAAAGGCAACGCGUAC
rnacentral:misc_RNA from 1 species